rnacentral:misc_RNA from 1 species
UUAGCAGUUGCCCUAAGAAAGUGAGCCAAGGGCUGACCGUAAGUGUGGGGAAAGUAUCUGCUUAUGGUGCGAGCACCAGCUGCGUCUGCUGCAGUAGUAGAAUCGCCAAAUUCUACCCUGACAGUAGUUCCCUGAAGGCAAGGAGGGAGGUCUGGUUCGUAAAUGGAUCUCAGUUUUUGAAGCUCGGAAAGUUCUCUGGAAAUGCCGAAAUCGGAAUCCAUGGCGGUGUUGUGGUAGUGAUGAUGGUGGUGUG